rnacentral:lncRNA from 1 species
UUUUUUUUUUUUUUUUUUUUUUUUUUUACAAGGUGUCCGGGCUUGCGUCCGACUAGAUCCUUGUCCCUGAACCUCCGGCCCCUCAGCAGCUCAGGGAGGUAAAUCGCAGGAUGUGCCCUUGUUGGCUCCCAGGUUCCCACAACUCAUUUGGACUCCUUCCGCAAAGAGAGCUCUCCUCGCUGGGCGUUUGUUCAACCAAAUGGCUUCCCCUCCAUUUUAGCACCCAGUGUUAACUUCAGGAAUCGAACUCUCCACCCUUGCUUCCAGCGUCCCAGCGAAGUGAUUGUUCCACCAACUCGGAUGUGCCCUGGGGGGCAA